AUGUCUCUCGCAAAAUUUUAAUGAUUUUUAAACCCAAAAGAGUUUGUGCAAUUUCGGUUUGUGUUUUAGGCUUCCCUCGAUAAGUAUCUUUUAUAUUCUGAAUGUUAUUGCAUGGAGGAUGCCUGCCUAACACGAACCUAUACUUAUUUGAAUUAACUCUACUAACACACACAACAAAUGGAGGUGGAGUUACAAGACACUUUCUUGGGUGACGAAGAUCAACAUUCCUUACAAAGUUCUAAACAAACCUACUCUGUCCCAAAUAAACGAAAAAACGAGAAAGUGCAAGAUGAGAAAACCUCAGAACAGCAAGCAAGGGAAGAAAAAGAACAAGCAGAAAACAUAGCCACGAUGCUUAUGAGGAACUACGACUCGAAGCUCUAUGGCGAAGACGACACUUCGCAGCCCACCUCGCGCACCGCACCCAUCAUUCCUAUUGAGGCCACCCGCAAGAAAAAGAAGAGAAAAAGAUCUCAAAUAUCGAUAUGCCUCACGAACUGCCGGUACGAGUCGAUCCGCAAAGUGGCGAGUGCCUUCGGCAUGCGUGAGGUGUCUGAGGAGGACGCGUGGAACUUCUACUGGACCGACAUGAGUGUCUCUGUCGAGCGCGCGAAGGAGAUGAAGAGGUUCCAACGCAUCAACCACUUCCCAGGGAUGCUUGAGAUUUGCAGAAAGGAUCUGUUGGCAAGGAACUUGAACAGAAUGCAAAAAAUAUACCCGAAGGAGUAUAACUUCUUCCCGAAAACUUGGUGCUUGCCUGCCGAUUUCGGAGAAGCUCUCAACUACAGUAAAUCAAGGAAGAACAAAACUUUUAUCAUUAAGCCCGAAUGCGGGAGUCAGGGCCGUGGCAUCUAUCUCACAAAAUCACUAAAGGACAUCAAACCUACAGAUAAACUUAUCUGUCAGGUGUACAUUUCAAAACCAUACCUAGUGGACGGAUAUAAGUUCGAUAUUAGAGUGUACACGCUAAUCACUUCAUGCGAUCCACUCAGGAUAUUCGUGUACAACGAAGGCUUAGUAAGAUUCGCCACUAGCCGGUACGCCGAUCCGAACGUCAACAAUACUACGAACGUGUUCAUGCACCUCACUAACUAUGCGCUCAACAAGCACAGUCGUACCUACGUUUACGACUCGGAGGCGGGCAGCAAACGCAAGAUAUCGACGCUAAACAAGAUCCUGGUGUCGCAAGGCAUCGACCUGGACCGGCUGUGGCACUCCAUCGACCAGGUCAUCGUGAAGACCAUCAUCUCCGCGUGGCCGAUACUCAAGCACAGCUACCACGCGUGCUUCCCUUCACACGACAUGGUACAUGCGUGUUUCGAAAUACUUGGCUUCGAUAUACUUCUGGAUCAUAAGUUGCAUCCCUUCAUAUUAGAAGUAAAUCACUCGCCAAGUUUCCACACGGACACGCAGCUGGACCGCGAGGUGAAGGAGAGCCUUCUAACGGACACGUUCACGAUGCUGAACAUCUGGCAGUGCGACAAGAAGCGCGUGCUCGAGGAGGACCGCAAACGCAUCCGCGACCGGCUGCUGCAGACCAACAAGUUUGCCGAGUUCGUGCCAGCUGAUGAAAAGGAACCAGAGAAAAGUCCGUGGCAAACGCAAAUACAGUGGGAGGAGACGCAUCUGGGAAAUUUCAGACGCGUGUAUCCGGUGGGCGAGCAGUACGCGUCGCUGUUCCAGCAGCCGUCCGGCUCGCUGUACACCGGAACGGCGUCUUCACGCGCGCGCGGCGACUGCACGCGGAUACAACGGGAGGAGUUCCAGCAAACAAAAGCCAAAGCCGAAGCCCUAAAGAAGCCGUCCCAGCCGAAGAAUUUGAAAGAAGGUGAGAAGAAGGGAGAGGAGACGAGUGGCCCGCCCACCGUCACCAACUCCACCGCCACCGCCACCGUGGCCUCAGAGAAGGGCAAGCAGAAGCCACGGAGCGACAAGGACAAAGAAAAACGGAAGGAUAACGACAAGGAUAAGAAACUUACCGCCAAACCAUCGCUUGCGCAACAACCGGUCCCAGAAAAAGAAAUAAAGCCACCUUACGUGCUUUGCUCGUAUGAACCUGAUCCCAUAGUUGAGAAGGAGGAACGCGAGAGAGUCAAUCUUCUGGCUCAGAGGGAUUUCCUAAUAAGGAGUUAUGGCAUGUUGGAACAGAUAUAUCUAGUCAUGAAAAAAAUGGGUACACUGAGGCCCGAAGAUGAAAGAAAGUAUGGCGUAUAUGGACGGCUCUCCGUAGUAUCCAACUCACCCAAGAAAGUGUGAACGUAAACGCUGCAUGAAAAGUAAAAUAUAAAAACGAAAAAAAAAUUAGAUGUAAGAAAUUACAGAAGAAACAAAAUAAAUUUUGUGUACAGACCGCCAUAAAGAAGAGCAAAAAAUGUAAUAAGCACAAACCAAACAACAAAGGAGAUCAUUUGGAUUUUGGACUGAAAGUGCAAUGCAAAGAUGCGGUGAUCUACGAGCGCCCGGCGGCCGAGGCAGGCGCCGCGGACCGCACCACGAAGACACACCUAGCGCGAAUGGCUUACACCAUUUGGAAGAUGAACACGUUGGCCAGACCAGUCCCUCUAUCUGAGUGAUGAAACCAAUUAUUGUGUUUGAAUAAAUCGGCAACUUUAUAGUGACGUCGUUGUGUUCUAAUACUGUGCCAUUCAAUGCUUCGCUCUCGUGAGUAAGUGUUUAUCGAAUAAUGCCAAAUGUAGAUGUAACGACUUACCAUGUCUAUUUAUAAAUGCUAGUUACCAGCUUAGGUUACGCAAUAUUGUAAUGACUGAAGUAUUAUUACUAUGAAAUCUUGUGCUCUUGGCUAUUAUUAAAUCGAACUUCAUAAUAGUUAUAUAAUCAUAUUGUUACUGUUUUGUAAAUUCUGGUG